rnacentral:tRNA from 1 species
GGCCGGUUAGCUCAGUGGUUUGAGCGCGGUGCUGGUAUCAAGGACCAACACCGAGGACGCGGGUUCGAUUCCCGCUCGGUCC